rnacentral:rRNA from 1 species
ACACUCCUACGGGAGGCAGCAGUGGGGAAUAUUGGACAAUGGGCGCAAGCCUGAUCCAGCCAUGCCGCGUGAGUGAUGAAGGCCCUAGGGUUGUAAAGCUCUUUCACCGGUGAAGAUAAUGACGGUAACCGGAGAAGAAGCCCCGGCUAACUUCGUGCCAGCAGCCGCGGUAAUACGAAGGGGGCUAGCGUUGUUCGGAUUUACUGGGCGUAAAGCGCACGUAGGCGGACUAUUAAGUCAGGGGUGAAAUCCCGGGGCUCAACCCCGGAACUGCCUUUGAUACUGGUAGUCUUGAGUUCGAGAGAGGUGAGUGGAAUUCCGUGUGUAGAGGUGAAAUUCGUAGAUAUUCGGAGGAACACCAGUGGCGAAGGCGGCUCACUGGCUCGAUACUGACGCUGAGGUGCGAAAGCGUGGGGAGCAAACAGGAUUAGAAACCCUUGUAGUCCCAUGAU